rnacentral:rRNA from 1 species
AUGCUAUUGUUCAUCCUGAAUGGCAGUUUGCGAUGGCAGAGGAGAUUGCUGCCCUUGAGCGCAAUGGCACAUGGGACCUGGUUUCUCUUCCUCCCUAUGUUCGUCCAAUCACUUGUAAGUGGGCCUAUAAGAUUAAGACUCGCUCUGAUGGUUCUCUUGAGCGUUAUAAAGCUCGUCUUGUGGCUCGUGGCUUUCAGCAGGAGCAUGGUCGUGAUUAUGAUGAGUGCUCCUAUGGCCCAUAUGACCACUGUCCGCACACUUCUUGUCGUGGCCUCUGUUCGCCACUGGUCUGUGUCUCAACUUGAUGUUAAGAAUGCCUUUCUUAAUGGUGAGUUGCGUGAGGAAGUUUAUAUGCAGCCACCACCUCGGUAUUCAGUUCCUGACGGCAUGGCUUGUCGUCUUCGUCGCUCUCUAUAUGGCCUUAAGCAAGUCCCCCGUGCUUGGUUUGAGCGUUUUGCCUCUAUGGUAACUGCAGCUCAUGAUUCGGCGUUGUUUGUCCACCUUUCUACUCGUGGUCGCACUCGUCUUCUUCUAUAUGUUGAUGACAUGAUCAUCACUGGUGAUGAUUCUGAGUACAUUGCCUUUGUCAAGGCCCGUCUCAAUGAGCAGUUUCUUAUGUCUAAUCUUGGUCCUCUUCGUUACUUUCUUGGGAUUGAGGUUUCCUCCACCUCUGAUGGCUUUUCUAUUUCCCAAGAAAAGUAUAUCCAGGAUCUUCUUGCUCGUGCGGCUCUUAGUGAUGAGCGCACUAUCGAGACUCCUAUGGAGCUCAAUGUUAACCUUCGCGCUUCUGAUGGCGAGCUCUUGUCUGAUCCGACGCGUUAUCGUCAUCUUGUUGGGAGUCUUGUCUAUCUUGCUGUCACUUUUAUGUCCUAUCUACGUCUCCUUUGCCCUGGUUUUUUGCUUCUUGUUCUUCGUGUUCAAUGUCAGCGAACCUCAACGCUCUAG